AUUGAACGCUGGCGGCAUGCCUUACACAUGCAAGUCGAACGGUAACAGGUCUUCGGAUGCUGACGAGUGGCGAACGGGUGAGUAAUACAUCGGAACGUGCCCGAUCGUGGGGGAUAACGCAGCGAAAGCUGUGCUAAUACCGCAUACGAUCUACGGAUGAAAGCGGGGGAUCGCAAGACCUCGCGCGGACGGAGCGGCCGAUGGCAGAUUAGGUAGUUGGUGGGAUAAAAGCUUACCAAGCCGACGAUCUGUAGCUGGUCUGAGAGGACGACCAGCCACACUGGGACUGAGACACGGCCCAGACUCCUACGGGAGGCAGCAGUGGGGAAUUUUGGACAAUGGGGGAAACCCUGAUCCAGCCAUGCCGCGUGCAGGAUGAAGGCCUUCGGGUUGUAAACUAGCUUUUGUUACGGAACGAAAAGGUACCUUUCUAAUAAAGAAGGGCGUCAUGACGGUACCGUAAGAAUAAGCACCGGCUAACUACGUAGCCAGCAGCCGCGGUAAGAGU
rnacentral:rRNA from 1 species